AACGCUUCCUGCGGACAAGGAAUUCGCCGACCGUUUUCAUCUCCGUCGUCGCAUUGGUCCUGCUGUCCAACGGUUCUCUCCGCGCGUCGUCCUCGACUUCGCCGCCCAAAGACCCGUUUCUCGGGAUAGCUCCUGAAGAUGUGAAAUAUUACGGUUCAUCGAACAGGAUCGAGUGUAAGGAUGGGUCGAAGAAAUUCAGCAGAGCCCAGGUCAAUGACGAUUUCUGCGACUGCCCGGAUGGCACAGAUGAGCCAGGAACAUCAGCAUGCCCAAAUGGAAAAUUUUAUUGUCGGAAUGCAGGACAUGUUCCUGUCAUUAUAUUUUCUUCAAGAGUAAAUGAUGGCAUUUGUGGUAAGUAGUCCAUCGGAAC